GUAGGUGAACCUGCGGAAGGAUCAUUAUCGAAUAUGGAAUAUCGCAUUCUUAAACCCAUCCUGAGUACAUGUACUUGUUGCUUCCGUGGGCAGUGAACUUUGUGUUUGCGCCCGCUGAUGAAGUGGACCCACGGGAGAUACCAAUAAACUCUGCAUUUCUGUGUCAUACAGUCUGAUUUUGUUUAUUUAUUAAACGUUAAAACUUUCAACAACGGAUCUCUUGGUUCUCGCAUCGAUGAAGAACGCAGCA
rnacentral:misc_RNA from 1 species